rnacentral:rRNA from 1 species
GAUGAACGCUGGCGGCGUGCCUAAUACAUGCAAGUCGAGCGAACGGACGAGAAGCUUGCUUCUCUGAUGUUAGCGGCGGACGGGUGAGUAACACGUGGAUAACCUACCUAUAAGACUGGGAUAACUUCGGGAAACCGGAGCUAAUACCGGAUAAUAUUUUGAACCGCAUGGUUCAAAAGUGAAAGACGGUCUUGCUGUCACUUAUAGAUGGAUCCGCGCUGCAUUAGCUAGUUGGUAAGGUAACGGCUUACCAAGGCAACGAUGCAUAGCCGACCUGAGGGGGGGAUCGGCCACCCUGGAACUGAGACACGGUCCAGACUCCUACGGGAGGCAGCAGUGGGGAACCUUCCGCAAUGGGCGAAAGCCUGACGGAGCAACGCCGCGUGAGUGAUGAAGGUCUUCGGAUCGUAAAACUCUGUUAUUAGGGAAGAACAUAUGUGUAAGUAACUGUGCACAUCUUGACGGUACCUAAUCAGAAAGCCACGGCUAACUACGU